rnacentral:snRNA from 1 species
AUCCCUAGCUCUGACUGUUAGUGUAAAGUGACUGACGUAAUGUCUGUGAUUUCCCCAAAUGCCGGAAACUCGACAGCAUAAUUUGUGGUAGUGGGGGACUGUGUUCUCACUCCCCCCCU